rnacentral:rRNA from 1 species
GACGAACGCUGGCGGCGUGCUUAACACAUGCAAGUCGAACGGAAAGGCCCUGCUUUUGUGGGGUGCUCGAGUGGCGAACGGGUGAGUAACACGUGAGUAACCUGCCCUUGACUUUGGGAUAACUUCAGGAAACUGGGGCUAAUACCGGAUAGGAGCUCCUGCUGCAUGGUGGGGGUUGGAAAGUUUCGGCGGUUGGGGAUGGACUCGCGGCUUAUCAGCUUGUUGGUGGGGUAGUGGCUUACCAAGGCUUUGACGGGUAGCCGGCCUGAGAGGGUGACCGGCCAUAUUGGGACUGAGAUACGGCCCAGACUCCUACGGGAGGCAGCAGUGGGGAAUAUUGCACAAUGGGCGGAAGCCUGAUGCAGCAACGCCGCGUGCGGGAUGACGGCCUUCGGGUUGUAAACCGCUUUCGCCUGUGACGAAGCGUGAGUGACGGUAAUGGGUAAAGAAGCACCGGCUAACUACGU